GACGAACGCUGGCGGCGUGCUUAACACAUGCAAGUCGAGCGGUAAGGCCCUUUCGGGGGUACACGAGCGGCGAACGGGUGAGUAACACGUGGGUGACCUGCCCUCAGCUCUGGGAUAAGCCUGGGAAACUGGGUCUAAUACUGGAUAUGACUCCACGGUGCAUGUCGUGGGGUGGAAAGCCUUGUGCGGCUGAGGAUGGGCCCGCGGCCUAUCAGCUUGUUGGUGGGGUGANGGCCUACCAAGGCGACGACGGGUAGCCGGCCUGAGAGGGCGACCGGCCACACUGGGACUGAGACACGGCCCAGACUCCUACGGGAGGCAGCAGUGGGGAAUCUUGCGCAAUGGGACGAAAGCCUGACGCAGCGACGCCGCGUGAGGGAUGACGG
rnacentral:rRNA from 1 species